GAGAAGGCUAAUUCAUCAAUGUAGCCGGUGGGUGCAAAGUGAGAACUGAGUGAUCAGUGAGGUGGAGAUGUGGCGUUUGGUCCGGUGUGUGUGUGUGUGCGUGUGUGUGUGUGUGUGUUUGUAGGGCUGUCAGAGCAUAAUGUCAGAGGGCUGAGUCACAGGUUUUAAUACACUGGCAUUAGGGAUUGGUGCCCUCACCGUCACCCAGCCUGGACCUAUAAAACACUGGCAUUAGGGAUUGGUGCCCUCACCGUCACCCAGCCUGGACCUAUAAAACACUGGCAUUAGGGAUUGGUGCCCUCACCGUCACCCAGCCUGGACCUAGCUGGGAAUUAUUUAUUAGAGAAGAAACUUAAGUGGCCGCUUCAUCACACACACACACACACACACACACACACACACACACACACACACACACACACACACACACACACACACACACACACACACACACACACACACACACACACACACACACACACACAACCUAGUUUCUCUCUCUCUACUGUGUGGGUAGUUUCCUUUCCCCAGGCUUGUUUAAAAAGCAGCCAGUGAUUUAAUCACCACGAUAGAUUUUAAAAGGCUGAAGAUUAAGAAUGCUGCUAUAAGAAGAAACACACUAACAGAGAUGUGUUUUAUUAUUGCACCUAAUGAAGUUGGUAUUUUUAAACAGUCUGGGGCUAGUGCUUGUGGGUAAGCGGAUUUAUUAAUGCAGUUGUCCUGGCCUAACGGCCGUGUUGCCACUGUGAAUCAGUGUGUUCGUUUUAAUAAAAUGAAAGGUGUUAUUUCUCUAGCCUCCAGUCCAAACAGAAUGACCAUCUCAUUAGGGAACUUCUUAGAGGAAUAAUGAAGCACUAUUGGAGCCCACUGCUUGUUUCAUCUUAAAGAUAUCAACUGUUAUAGGGUUCAUUUCAUCAACAUUAGGAAGGUUACAUAAACAAUUAUUAAUUGGCCUAAACUAUUAGUAUGCCUUUAUAUAUAUUAUUAAGAGCAGAGAAUCAUAUAGGACUAAUAAAAGUUUAUAUAUCUUAUUCAAAGCAGACAAUCAUAAACUAUUAUUAGUCCAAUAUG
rnacentral:lncRNA from 1 species